rnacentral:rRNA from 1 species
UACGUAGGGGGCAAGCGUUGUCCGGAAUCAUUGGGCGUAAAGAGCGUGUAGGCGGCCAGAUAAGUCCGCUGUGAAAUCUCGAGGCUCAACUUCGAGCUGUCGGUGGAAACUGUCUGGCUAGAGUCCGGAAGAGGAGAAUGGAAUUCCUGGUGUAGCGGUGAAAUGCGCAGAUAUCAGGAGGAAUACCGGUGGUGUAGACGGCUCUCUGGACCGCGACUGACGCUGAGACACGAAAGCGUGGGUAGCAAACAGG